AAGGAUCAUUAUUGAAUACACUUGAUGGGUUGUAGCUGGCUCUUUGGAGCAUGUGCACGCCUGUCUUGAUAUUAUUCAUCCACCUGUGCACCUUUUGUAGUCUUGGGGGCUGAGAGUAGCCAACUGUCGGGAGGGCCACAUGGCCUUACCGGAUGUGAGGAUUGCUGUGCGAAAGCAUGGCUCUCCUCAAAUGGCCGCAAACUCCCUCAAGUUCUAUGUUUUAUUCAUACACCACAUAGUAUGUUUCAGAAUGUAAUCAAUGGGCCUAUGUGCCUAUAAAACUUUAUACAACUUUCAGCAACGGAUCUCUUGGCUCUCGCAUCGAUGAAGAACGCAGCGAAAUGCGAUAAGUAAUGUGAAUUGCAGAAUUCAGUGAAUCAUCGAAUCUUUGAACGCACCUUGCGCUCCUUGGUAUUCCGAGGAGCAUGCCUGUUUGAGUGUCAUUAAAUUCUCAACCCCUCCAGCUUUUGCAAGUUGGGCUGGGGCUUGGAUGUUGGGGGUUUGCGGGCCUUUAUUAUCAAAGGUCAGCUCCCCUGAAAUGCAUUAGCGGAACCGUUUGCGAUCCGUCAUUGGUGUGAUAAUUAUCUACGCCAUGUGGGUUGCUCUCUGUCUGUUCAGCUGCCAAUAGUCCAUUCACGGACAAUCUUUUGAACUCUUGACCUCAAAUCAGGUAGGACUACC
rnacentral:rRNA from 1 species